rnacentral:snoRNA from 1 species
AAACCAUGGUGUGGGCAUUGAGCUUGGUAGCCCUUGAAUCUUUCUCAGGCUUCACUGAAGCCUUCCAAGUUCUUCUGUUGAAAGCUAGAAAUCUCAUUUCUCAGCUU